rnacentral:lncRNA from 1 species
GUUGUAUUCAUUUUUUACAUCAGCGUGUCGAUACCGUUGCUGGUGAACUAUCAGCCCCGAUGGUAUCAUCAGCUCAGUUAUCAGUACGUUGGACACAAAGGUUUUGACUCCCGUAGGGAUAUGUGAACUUAGAUUGAUCUUGCUAUCUUUUUGGUCAUACUACUCAACCGACCAGUUCAGUUCUGAUACAUCCUUGGCAUUUAAAUAUAAGGUUUUGAGCAUU